ACUUCAACCGACUCUUAAAUCGUUUACGGUGGAAACAGGGUCGAAACAGGGUUCCAUGGAGAGCCUUGCGGGUCCGGUAGCUAAAAUUAUGAGUAUAAAUUUUUCCUCAGCGUAAAGGAUAUAUAGCACCACGAACCAAGGAAGACUGAUCCCAGCAAUAAAGAAAAAUCUUGGUUCGGACAGACAGUCAGUCAUGGCCUUCAGUUGCACGAAAGGGUUUAAAAUUUAAUAACAAUCAUAACUUGAAUUGAAAUGACUGAUUUAUGGCACAAGACUUGGCCACAAAAAUGAAUAUUCUCCCAGUUACGUACGUUGCUGCGUACGUAUCCGACGAGGAAAAUCAAAGCCAACGAAUAUGCGCGGGAAAAAUGCGAAAAUCAAAAUAAAAAUGAAAGGAAGAGAGAACGCAGAUGAUAAUAACAAGAGAAUAUAGAAAAUGCAAUAAUAAUAAUAAUAACAGAGAAGUAUGUUCACUAGUAUUUGUUGGCUGUCUGCUUAAAUGUAGUUGCGAACCGUGCUUGGUUGGAGUACAUGACCAUUUCGAAGGAUACUGUCUGUUCGAAUGUCGGUUACCGGAAUAUGCAUAAAGGUAAAUUUCUGGAUUACAAUAAAUACCUCAUGAAGAUAAGUAUCGGAGUAUUCG